UUGAAGAAAAUUAAAUCGGAGCAUGGAAAGGUUCAAGUGGAGAACACCACUGCUGAUAUGAUCGUGGAGGCACCGGGGGAGGGGGACUAAUAUAUAUGAUAAAGUUCGUGCCUUUAUAUAUGUGUGUGUUUUGGUUUCAUAUCCACAGGCUGGCAUCAUUGUUCGUGCUUGUGCUGGUUUGAAUUCUAGGUUGUUUGCCUUGAAGGUCUUCCCAAAGGUCCACUCUGUUAUGUUUAUCUUGAACUUGAAGGAAUGCCUUUGAUCUGUCGUCGUCGGUUCCUGUUACCUCUUUGAUGAUUGUACUUGAUGAGCUGACUAGUAGGAUUGAUGGGUGGAGGAUUGGCUGGAAUCCAAGGCUCUUGAAGGAGCCGAGUUGUUUGUUCAAUUGACUGGUGGAAGACUGCUUGCAGCAGAUCAAACUCAAAGGCCAAGGUUUUAAACCGCUGAUUCCAAAAGGAGUUGAUGAGUAUGAUGAAUCAGAAUUAGAAGGUUUUCAACAGCUGAUUCCAAAAUGAAAUUACACAAGAUUUCUCCUCUUAUCUUGUGUAAUUUGGGGAUAAUUUUUGAAGCUUGUAUUCUUUUGUGCUUCACA